UGAUGAUCCAGAAAAGAGGUUGUUCCAUAAACUACAGACAAAGCUGACCUACUUCAAACUGCAUAAAACCCAAGAGGUGCUCCUGUAUCGCCUGCCAAAAUAACCCACCGCAACAUGACCCAUAUGCAAAAAAAUUAAAACAGACAGAACGAUGAACAAUGCAGGUUGAAUUACUCUUCGCUGAAGAGGUCGGGCAAGCACCACAGCUAUCCUUGACAGGAAGCAGGAAGCCACAAAAACCAACAUGCGACGACAGACUGGCAGACAUGAUGAAUGGAUAUCCAUAUGCCGCAGCCCAGAGACUCUUCACAAGCUGCCUAUAGGAACUUUAAACAGAAUUCCUGGGAACGCCGUUGGCAUACACAGCGUAGGCUAUAUAGGAUGCCGGCGCUGACCGUUUCAAUGCCAUCAAGUAGGAAGAAGAAGAAAACAAUGCCCCACGAUGGAUCCCGUCAACGAGGUUGGAGGAAAAAGAGCACUCUACAGCCAGAGGCUAUUCAAAAAGGCCAAUCUGUGAUGGGGUUCUGUGCGAGCCCAAGCCAAUUAUCUGGCAAGAAGAGACUGAUUAAUCACAGACACUUCUAUCGUGGAGUGGCUCAUGGUGCAGGUGUCCUCCGUAUUUCAUCAAGUCCAGUUUGAAGCUCCCCCCCC
rnacentral:lncRNA from 1 species